AUUGUGGCCAAGCUGUUUCUAGAUGGACUAAAUCAGGAGCUUAACCUUCGACGACAACUCAUAUUCUCUCAACCAGAAUGGCCCAGUCUUGAUGAUAUUAUUUCCAGUGUGCUCGAGGAAGAAACCCGGUUGGCUCAACCCAAGGAGGAGGAUCUAAAAUGUGGAGAUGACCGUGCGGCUUUAUCUAUGCAAUACCGCCAUACUCCCAGGCCCUUUGGCAAGAUAGAAAAAAACAAGUUGUUUUGUGAUCACUGUAAAAGAAAAGGACACACAAAGGUUGGAUGUUUCGAGCUGCAUGGAUAUCCAUCAUGGUGGGAAAAAGGAAAAUCUCGGACAGGGGGAGUUCAGAGUGUGAAUAGAAGGCAGGCUAACCUAACCGCGUCUCUACGGGAGCCACCAGUGGUAGAUGUACGAGCUCUUGAAGAGUUCAACUCCAAGCUUAAACUCUCAGAAAGCUCAUCUUCCUCCCAAGGCACUUCUAAGGUUGAUUCCAAUCUAAUUGCCACUUCUCACCAAGGAGCUAGGGACUGGGAAACAAUUGGGGACUGGGACCGAGCAUGAAGGACUUUAUUAUCUUGAUGAUGGAAGUGAUGAAGUGGCUCUUGCAUCAUGUUUGUCUUCCUGUCAGGAGUUAUUGUUGCAUCACCGCAGGCUUGGACACCCUUCUUUUGCUGUUUUAUCCCGCGUUUAUCCUGCUUUAUUUAAGUUAUGUCCUAAAGAGGCACUAGUAUGUGAUGCUUGUGAACUAGCUAAACAUACUAGGGGCUCUUAUCCUAGUAUUGGUCUUAGAAGUGAAAAACCAUUUGAAAGAAUUCACUCUGAUGUGUGGGGACCCUGUGAGGUUCACUCAGUUUCCGGGCACCGGUGGUUUGUGACCUUUAUUGAUUGCUUUAGUCGAUACACUUGGCUUUAUCUUCUGAAGCAUAAGAGUGAUGUAUUAUCUGUUUUCAAA